rnacentral:lncRNA from 1 species
UCUUUGACUUUAAUUGCUAAUUGCUCUUUUUGUUCAUAGUUGGAUUGAAAUUCCAGGAUUGGUUUUUUUUUUUUUACAUUGAAAAAUUGGCUGAUUAAAUUGCAUUUGUUUUCUCUGCAGGGUUGAAUAUGUGAGCAAUAGUUUGGGCCGCUGGGAUUGGGCCGUUGCUGCUGUUUGACGCAUUGUUGCUGCCUAGCUGUUUUGCACCGCUGUACUGCUGCUGACUGGGAUUAAAUGAAUUGUCGCUGCACUGCAGAAAUUCAAUUGGGCUGGAAAAACACUUGGGCCCUGAAACGCUGAACUUGAUUCUAAAUUGCACUGCUGCAGCGUUGUUUAAUGAAGCAGUGCUGAACUAAAGUAGAGUAUUGGAUUGGGCCGACCCUCCUUUAAUGAAACAGUGAGUUUGGUGUCUUGGCAGUGGAAGCUUUUGGGGGUCAAUGCUCGAGACAUAUUCAUUUGGAGAGAAGAGAAUACCCUCGGGCUAGGGUUCACGAGAGAACAAGAGAAGCAAGAGGUGAGAGUACGUGACCGGAGCUGAACUGGUGAGAGAGAAGAGCUGACCGGAGUGCCACGUGGAGGAUCGAAUGGCUGGAAGAGCAAGCUCGAAGCAAAUGAACAGUGACCGCUGGAUCAAGAGCAGGAAGUGUCCAAGUGAAGGUUUCUCUUCUCCAGAUUUUUUUCUUUCUUCGUUCUAGUUUUGG